rnacentral:rRNA from 1 species
GAUGAACGCUGGCGGCGUGCCUAAUACAUGCAAGUCGAGCGAACAGACGAGGAGCUUGCUCCUCUGACGUUAGCGGCGGACGGGUGAGUAACACGUGGAUAACCUACCUAUAAGACUGGGAUAACUUCGGGAAACCGGAUCUAAUACCGGAUAAUAUAUUGAACCGCAGGGUUCAAUAGUGAAAGACGGUUUUGCUGUCACUUAUAGAUGGAUCCGGGCCGCUUUAGCGAGUUGGUAAGGUAACGGCUUACCAAGGCAACGAUGCGUUGCCGACCUGAGAGGGUGCUCGGCCACACUGGAACUGGAACACGGUCCAGACUCCUACGGGAGGCCGCAGUAGCGAAUCUUCCGCAGUGGGCGAAAGCCUGACGGAGCAACGGCGCGUGAGUGAUAACGGUCUUGGGAUCGUAAAACUCUGUUAUUAGGGAAGAACAAAUGUGUAAGUAACUAUGCACGUAUUGACGGUACCUAAUCAGAAAGCAACGGCUAACUACGUG